GAAUAAAUAAAUUUUUUAUGUUUUAAAUAUUUUAUUAUAAAUUUGUUUUACAUGUAARUUUUAGUAUGAAAUUUUAAUUAUUUUAAAAAUGGUUAAUUUAAGAUAAACAGUAAUUAAAAUUAAAAAUUUAAGAAAUUAAGAUUUAGUAAUAUUUAAAUUAAUAACUAAUUUUGUGCCAGCAGUUGCGGUUAAACAAAGAUUAAAUUAAAUUAAUUCAGUAUUUAAUAAAUAAAUAUAUAUGUUAAAUUAAAUAUUAAAUUAUUAGGUAAAAUUUUAAUUUAAUUAAAAAUUAUUUUUAAUUUAUGAUUUUAUAAAUUUUAUUAUAAACUAGGAUUAGAUACCCUAUUAUUAAAAAUUUAAUAAAAAAUACUAAAAUAGUAAAUAAAUUAUUAUUGAAACUUAAAUAAUAUGGCGGUAUUUUAGUUCAUUUAGAGGAAUCUGUCUAGUAAUUGAUAAUCCACGAAUAAAUUUACUUAAUUUAUAAUUUUGUAUAUCAUUGUUAAAAAAAUAUUUUUAAAUAAAAAUAAUAUUUUAAAAUUUAAAAUAGAAUUUAAUUCAGAUCAAGAUGCAGAUUAUAAUUAAGUUUAAGAUGGAUUACAAUAAAUUUAUUUAAAUGGAAAGAAUUUUGUAAAAUUUGAUUGAAAGUGGAUUUAAAUGUAAUUUUAUUAAAUUUAUUAAAAUGAUUUAAAAUUAAAAUAUGUACAUAUUGCCCGUCACUUUCAUUUUAAAAUUGAAAUAAGUCGUAACAAAGUAGAAGUACUGGAAAGUGUUUCUAGAAUGAA
rnacentral:ncRNA from 1 species